ACACCGGAACAAGAGCAAAGGUUAGGCAAAGCACCUGGAACCUCUGAGAUUGGCAUGUAGUGCCUUGACCCAAGUAGAUAAAAAGAAAAAUAACCUCCUUACUACUGCAUCCCCUAAGGGGUGGAGUAAGGAGAGACCCCACUGAGCCUCCUCUCUCCGGGGAAGUUCUCUAUCUCCCUAUGUCUCUUCACUGGCACCUAACUAAAUGUUCCCCACUUACUGCUGGUGGGGUAUGAGAUCUAGUGAGUCUUGUUCUGAAGUGUCUCCUAUCCAGGGCUAUUUCAGCCUACAAGUUUGACACACGCGAGUCGACUGGCUUUGACCUGAGAAGCAAGUGAUCACUGAAAUAUAAAGUUCGUGCAGGAGUGAACUCUGGUUCCUGACAGACGGGUUUCUAUUCCUGCACAAACAUCAUGACCAAGAAGCAAGUUGGGGAGGAAAAGAUCUAUUCAGCUUACAUUUCCACAUUGCUGUUCAUCACCAAGGAAGUCAGGACUGGAACUCAAGCAGGUCAGGAAGCAGGAGCUGAUGCAGAGGCCAUGGAGGGAUGUUCCUUACUGGCUUGCUUCCCCUGCCUUGCUCAGCUUGCUUUAUUAUAGAACCCAGGACUACCAGCCAAGGGAUGGCACCACCCACUAAUUGAGAAAAUGCCUUACAGCUGGAUCUCAUGGAAGCAUUUCAUCAAGGGAGGCUCCUUUCUCUGUGAUAACUCCAGCUUGUGUCAAGUUGACACACCAAACCAGCCAGUACAAUGUAUCUCAAUAUUUAUGGUCUGUGGUGAUGCUGGCAGAAAGAAACCUACUGUGCUAUGUGUCCCAUGAUGUUGUAGUACAUUCCUGAGAUAUGGCUCCAUGGUACAGCAUUUGUCAAUCAAGCCUAUGAUCCUGGUUCCAUUCCCAGCUUCACAAAAAAGAAAACAAAUAUAUACAUAUAUACACACAUACAUACAUAUAUCAUAUACAAUCAUGCUCCAUAUCUAAAACCUGAUAAUGACAGAAAUGAUUGUGUCUGGUCCAUGUGUUUAAUAUACUACAUGUUUUAUUGAAAGAUCCUGACAGAAUGUAAAAGGUCACAGGAGCCCUGAAAUUGGCAAAAUAGAUUUCAUUGUUAGCAGAACUAGCUUCACUGAUUUAGAAAAAUAGAGAUGCACAAUGCUCUGGCCACUCCGAGAACCCGUGUGUCUGCCAAUGUUCUGACCAUUCCUUGAACCCAUGUGUGUGCCCACUGCUGAAGUCCACUGCCAGGUGUUUGUGAUAUUGGUUGCUGGGGAAGAGUCAGAAAAUCUCCCCAGCAACCACAGCCGGGGCCAAUCCGGAGUUGCUACACCUGCACCAAACUCUUUCCUUGUACCCCUCCCAUAACCAUUUCUUGAGAAUAGAUAUUGUUUAGAUCGGGAAAGCCCCUACUCCCCCCUUCUCCUUUCCCCCCUGAGGGCCUAUAAAAACUGGGACCUCUUUCCCCUCGGGGUCGACUCCUCUACCCCUGCGUGGGAUAUGAGUCGCCCCCAGAGCUCUGGCUUUCCCCAAAUAAAGCCUCGUGUGGUUUGCAUCAAG
rnacentral:lncRNA from 1 species